AAACGCACACUCAACGAACAAAGAUAUGGCUGGGAUUCCGCAUUUUUUAUAAAGGUGAGAGUCUGGUACGAGAAAUCAACAAAUCACAACCGAUUUCUCAUACAUCAAAUCAUUUUUAAUAGCAAGAUGUUGUCAAACAGCCCCCUUUCGUUUUUUGACAGUAACACAGAGGCAAUCGUUGUGGAGGAAGAUCCCAGCCCUAGCUUAUCCGCGGGAUCUCCUUGUGAAAUGAGCGAAUUAGACCUCUUUGAUGGUCUCGUAACACUUCCUGAUCAUAGUCAUUCAGAAAACAAUAACUGUACGAUGGCAGUUCCUCUUAAAACUUCCCAAGAUACCGGGUUAUUGGGGUACAUAUCUGAGGAGAAUAUGGAAAUUGUUUCAGUGACCGUUGAAGAUCGAUUUCAGAAAGGAACCCAUUCAAGCAGAGAAUAUGCACCUUGUAUGUCGAGAAAUGCUAUAAAUGCAAGAGAAAAUCGCCAAAAGAAGAAAGAGUAUGUGAAAAAUUUGGAAAAUUCUGUUAAUAAAUUAAAAACAGAAAAUUUGGAAUUAAAAAGUGAGUGUAAAUCUCUGAAAGAGACUGUCAGUAAUUUGACCUCUGAGGUUGAAUACUUAAAAGGUGUGCUGGCUAAUCAGUCUACACUGGCAACCAUACUUAACAAACUGUCUGAUAUUCCUGGUCUUUCAUUUUCAACAUCCAUCAAGCCCCCAACAGAAAAAAAUAACAAUAGCGUGAAACCCCCAACUACACAGUCAAAACGUAAAAGGUGUUUGGAGAAUCAAGAGAAUGUUUCAAAAAUAAACAAUUCAGAAGUGAAGAAACGGAAAGUUACUAGGUCAUCCUUCAAACUGGUAGAGCCACCUGAAGAAAAAAAUGACGAAACAGACUUGAAGAAAGAUGGCAAAACAGCUUUCCAUCCAAGGAAAAGAUUUUUGGAAAAGUUUCAAUCCUAUAAACGGUGGAGUAUAGAAAAAAAAUCUAAUGUAUGUGUCUUACUGUCAUUUUGUUUUUGUUAUCUUCUUCAUUUACAGGUUUUAUAAAUCUAGUUAUGAAAACAUGAUUGAUUAUUCAUAAAUUAGAUAACUCUAGGUUGCAUCAAUCUUAUCUCUUUUUUGAUGCACAAAUCUUUGGGGGAGGAUCUUCAAAUUUAAAAAAAAAUCAUUAGUUAUCAAUUUUGAUAAAUUUUCUAUAAAUUGAUCUGAGACAAUCAUAUCUAAUGUUUGAAUUUAUUUUCUCUUUCAGUUGAUGAGCCAUCUUAAGCUACUGUAGGCUUGAGAAGCGAUGUGAGAAGCGAUUCCAUUUGUUGUCAUGAACGUGUUACGUCAGAGAUGGAAGUUGACUGAUAUAUACAGAUGGAGAGGAUGUUCGGGAUUUUAAAUGUAAUAAAGCCCUCGGCAGAGAGGCAGCUUGCAAAUAAUUGCUUAAUACUUGUGAAUAGUGCUGAGGACAAUGGAAGUGCAUGAUUCUAGGUGAGCAGAUUUCAGGUACAACAAAAUAAGGUUGAAGUUUGUUCAUUGCAAUUUAAUUUUGUAAACGUUUCACGGUUUCAUGUUUAAAUAUAUGUAUUUAUGUAAAUGAUGUGUUCAUUAAACAAUUUGAAUAUC